rnacentral:rRNA from 1 species
GACGAACGCUGGCGGCGUGCUUAACACAUGCAAGUCGAACGGAACGGCCCUGCUUUUGUGGGGUGCUCGAGUGGCGAACGGGUGAGUAACACGUGAGUAACCUGCCCUUGACUUUGGGAUAACUUCAGGACACUGGGGCUAAUACCGGAUAGGAGCUCCUGCUGCAUGGUGGGGGUUGGAAAGUUUCGGCGGUUGGGGAUGGACUCGCGGCUUAUCAGCUUGUUGGUGGGGUAGUGGCUUACCAAGGCUUUGACGGGUAGCCGGCCUGAGAGGGUGACCGGCCACAUUGGGAUGGGGAUGAGGCCCAGACGCCAACGGGAGGGAGCAGAGGGGAAGAUUGCACAAGGGGCGGAAGCCUGGUGCAACAACGCCGCGCGCGGGAUGACGUGCAUCGGGUUGGAUACCGCUUUCGCCUGUGACGAAGCGUGAAUGACGGUAACGGGUAAAGAAGCACCGGCUAACUACGUG